GAUGAAGAACGUAGCGAAAUGCGAUAAGUAAUGCGAAUUGCAGAUCUCCGUGAGUCAUUGAAUCUUUGAACGCACAUUGCGCCCUCGGGUAUUCCCGAGGGCAUGCCUGUCCGAGCGUCAUUAUCCAACCAUCAAGCUCGGCUUGCGGUUGAGCCCCGCACCGUCCCCGGGACGGUGGGCUCGAAACAUGUUGGGCGCCCGUGAGGUUGUCGGUGCAGCGAGCUCUCGAGCACGUGCCGGGCAACCGCGCUGGGCGUCGGCCAGCCCCCCCAUUUUCUCAGGUUGACCUCGGAUCAGGUAGGAAUACCCGCUGAACUUAAGCAUAUCAAUAAGCGGAGGA
rnacentral:misc_RNA from 1 species